rnacentral:rRNA from 1 species
ACGGGAGGCAGCAGUGGGGAAUAUUGCACAAUGGGGGAAACCCUGAUGCAGCGACGCAGCUUGCGGGAUGACGGCCUUCGGGUUGUAAACCGCUUUCAGCAGGGAAGAAGCGCAAGUGACGGUACCUGCAGAAGAAGUACCGGCUAACUACGUGCCAGCAGCCGCGGUAAUACGUAGGGUACGAGCGUUGUCCGGAAUUAUUGGGCGUAAAGAGCUCGUAGGUGGUUGGUCACGUCUGCUGUGGAAACGCAACGCUUAACGUUGCGCGUGCAGUGGGUACGGGCUGACUAGAGUGCAGUAGGGGAGUCUGGAAUUCCUGGUGUAGCGGUGAAAUGCGCAGAUAUCAGGAGGAACACCGGUGGCGAAGGCGGGACUCUGGGCUGUAACUGACACUGAGGAGCGAAAGCAUGGGGAGCGAACAGGAUUAGAUACCCUGGUAGUCCAUGCCGUAAACGUUGGGCACUAGGUGUGGGGGGCAUUCCACGUUCUCCGCGCCGUAGCUAACGCAUUAAGUGCCCCGCCUGGGGAGUACGGUCGCAAGGCUAAAACUCAAAGGAAUUGACGGGGGCCCGCACAAGCGGCGGAGCAUGCGGAUUAAUUCGAUGCAACGCGAAGAACCUUACCAAGGCUUGACAUACACCGGACCGUCCUGGAAACAGGUCCUCUUCUUUGAAGCUGGUGUACAGGUGGUGCAUGGUUGUCGUCAGCUCGUGUCGUGAGAUGUUGGGUUAAGUCCCGCAACGAGCGCAACCCUCGUUCUAUGUUGCCAGCACGUGAUGGUGGGAACUCAUAGGAGACUGCCGGGGUCAACUCGGAGGAAGGUGGGGAUGACGUCAAAUCAUCAUGCCCUUUAUGUCUUGGGCUUCACGCAUGCUACAAUGGCUGGUACAGAGAGAGGCGAACCCGUGAGGGCAAGCGAAUCCCUUAAAGCCAGUCUCAGUUCGGAUCGUAGUCUGCAAUUCGACUACGUGAAGUCGGAGUCGCUAGUAAUCGCAGAUCAGCAACGCUGCGGUGAAUACGUUCCCGGGCCUUGUACACACCGCCCGUCAAGUCACGAAAGUCGGUAACACCCGAAGCCGGUGGCCUAACCGUAAGGAGGGGCC